UUAAGAGAGUCUGAUACUGGUUGCUGAUCACUAUGUUGUUCUCCUUCAGAAUUGCACACUGGCUUUGCACUAAAUCUAAAUGAAAUUUCCAGUUCGAAAGUAUAAAUGAAAUUUCUACUUUGAAAGUAUAGAUAAAUGAAAGUUUAAUUCCUUUACUAUAUAAAAGGCUUAGAAUUCUAAACAAGCUUUUGCUUCCAAUCUUAAGUCUUUUCAGAAGUGAAGCUCCAUUAGUGAUCUUUGCAUGGCUCAUCCUUCCUAAUAUAUAGUAGAUACUCAAAUUAUUUGUUAAGUAAAUGAGUUUUUGGCUUCUUUUGGAAAAGAGGUGGAACUAAGCAGUACGGCUAAUUUUCCAAGGCUUUUUCUGUUUCAACUUGGGGAAACUUGGAUAUUUACAGAGACUGUGAUUCUUUACAGGCAAGCUUCUUUUCCCGAUCAUCUUUCUUCAAACAGGUCCUGUUGACUUAGGAAACAUCUUGCAUAAAAUUCCUUUUCUCCUUUUAAGUAAAAUGGAAGAAUAAAAUAUAGCAGAACUGUUAUUUCUCCUAGAGAAAAAAUGAUUUGACCUGAUUUGCUUGAUAAUUAGUGAACGUGUGCCUAAUUAUAUCUCAGUAUCUUAUAUAAUAAAAAUGUAACCAGUUGUAAUUUUUAUUGCUCUAGUUUUUUUUCUUUGACUUAUAAUUUGAGAAAAAUAAGCAGAUAAUUGCUUUUCAGAAUUAAUAUUAGUGGCUGAUAGCAUCAUUGAUGAACCAGACUUCAUUGUUCUAUACUGCCUAAGAAAAUAUUCUUUGUCAUCCUAUUAGUAGGAGCUAACCUCCAUGGUUCAAAGUUUCUCUGAAGAGUUCUUUACUCUUAUUAGGUUACUGCCAUUCUGGUUACUUGUACUUAUCAAGUGUUUGUUUAAUUUAUACUAUUUACUAAGCAGUGAAAGCAGGGACCGUGGUACUUGGUACAGAGUUUUAGGGCAUUGCUGUAGAACAGGGUCACUGACCUUAUUCUUCACAACAUGAACUUCUCUUUAUGCGAAAUUAUGGUUCUUCUCUUCCUUGUGGUGUUAAAUUGGAAAUUAUAGUAUGUGAACUAAUGCAGUCAGCCUUUUCUAGCAGAUCUUAGACCAAAUGUUCUUGCCUUAGUGGGGGAAGGGGUUGAUACCUCUUCUGCCUAAACUCACAAGCCAAAAAUUAGGUAGCUUUAUCUUGAACAUGAUAAAAUGUAAAAUGAAAUGAGCAUGUGCAUACUAAAUUGUACCUAAUUCAAACUCAAUAAUAUAACAGCCUAAAAAGAGCAGGUUUUGAGUCGUAACCAGUGUUACCUUUAAAUGGCUGGAUGGCCUGAAGAUAUUGUUCAUCAGAGAAAACUGAGCUCAGUUAAAUGGGAGUAAUCCCUACCCCCAUAGGACUGCUGUGGAGAAAAUCAGUACAAAGACCUUAUGUGACAUAGGAGAUAGCAGCAAUCCCUUCCAGGAAGAAGUACAUUGGACAGUCUUGGUAAUAAAAUUCAGCAGUCUUUUUAAGAGUUUUCUUGAUAACUGUUAACUAUUGUACCUGGUGAGGUAGUUUGUAUAUUUGGGAAGUCUGAGGUGUAUGAAAUGUAAAGGAAAGAAACAAUGGAAAGAUACGUGUUUACUAUUUGGUGGGAAGGGGAAGACUAAUAGCUUGGUCAAGAGCAACAGGUUAUCUGUCCUUUUUCAGCGUAGCAACACUUAAUAUAAGAAUGAAGUCUUUCCUGCUUGUUCUAGAAAGAGAUAACAGAUGACCUGGAGAAGUUUAGUGAUUAGGUGAGCUGUGGAGAUAGUUAAAAGUGAACUAGGGAAUAGAUUACAGGAUUAAAAAUUGAAAUUCAACCAGAAAAACCUAAGAAAGAUCUUAAAGUAUAGGAGGAACAUGUAUACUUUGAACUCUUCAACUCUUCUGACCUGUCCAAAAAAGAGGAAGAAAUUGUAUUCAACCCCAGCAGAGGCAUUUGAAUUAGACAGGUCGGGAGAUAAAGAUACCCUAGAGUAUCUUUAUAGUUUACCAAGAGUAAUUUUGCUUUUCAGUUUUUCUUUUAAAAACACCCAAUUUGGGGACUUCUCUGGUGGUCCAAUGGUUAAGACUUCGCCCUUCAAAUGCAGGGGGUUAAGGUUCACGCCCUUGUUGGGGAACUAAGAUCCCACAUGUUUUGCAGGGUGUGGCCAAAAACUAAAUGCCCAGCUUUGUGAGUAAAACUUACGGUAACAUCUGAGUAGUAGUACAGUGGAAGAUCCUAGUUAGUUGGGUAAUUGAAAAGUAGUUCAAAUGUGUUCCUACUUGUUCUAAACAUUUUCAGUUAAAAUAAAUGUGUAUGUUCAUUUGCCCAUUUCUAGUUUGGAGCUAAGACCUUUUCUUUGAAUGUGCAUAGACCUACAGUUUGAAAAUAACUUACUAGCCACCCCGAAAAGAGAUGCAACCUUUAUAAAGUUGAGCUUACAUAGUAGAGUAAGAACUUAGAAGCUAAAAGAAAAUAAUCAGAAUUUUUCUAAUCUUUCAAUUGGGUUAUCUUUGAAUAACCCAAGUGAUAAGUGUGUGUGUCUCCUUUAAAAAUGGUCAUUUCAAAACUUUCAGUGUAAUUGCAUUAGAAAUGCUUCUUUUCAUACUUAAAUUUGAUAACAAAAAUAGCAUAGCAUUUUAGUAAUUAUAUCCAAGCACAAUGGCGUAGCUUGGGGAACAAAUACAGGACUCAAUAAUGGGAUAACCGCUGAUAGAAACUAAACGGGGUUUCAGGGAGUAGCUGAAAAAUGUAUCUGAAGUUAUUUAGCCCAAAGAUAAAACGAUGACAUGGGCAUUAUUGGUGUUUGCCUAGGAAUGAAAAAGGCCUGGUGUAAAGCCAGUCUGUUAAGUGAGGUUUGGUUAAUCCAGCAAAUUAAGUGAUGGUUCAUUCUAUUAGAACAUUAGGUGGGAAGAGUUGGUUUAUUCAAAAGCAUUUUGCAGUAAUUUUGCAAGAGAUGAGAUUAGAAAGAGAGAGAGGGUGCUGGUUAGAGCAUGAAGGGGUCAGUUAUGUUAUAAAUUAAUGAAUGUGGGACUUAAUGGCCUUGUGAAAACUUUACCCAGAGGAAAUGAUGCCAGAUUUUACCUCUUCCAAGACAUGCGAAAAUAGUUUUGCUUUUAUAAAGAAAAUCAGAGGUAACUUUAUCCCGCUAAUAUCAGAAUUAUAUUUUCAGUGCCCUCCAUCAUAGCUUAUAAUCAUUUAAGUAUUAACUUUGGGUUUUUUGGAAUUGGGGCUUUAACCUAUGAAAGACAUGCCCCCCCGCCGGUGAAUAUAAUUUGUUGUUGACUAGUCUUUCAGUUGUGUUCAACUGUUUUGCGACCCAUGGACUGUAUAGCCCUCCAGGCUCCUUUAUUGGAUUUCUCAGGCAAGAAUACUAGAGUGGGUUGCCAUUUCCCCCUCAAGUGGAUCUUCCCAACACAGGGAUUGAACCCGCAUCGCCUGCAUUGCAAGAGGAAAUCAAAAUUAUGGGUGUUCUGAUGUCAGCUAAGCUCAGAAAAACUUAAUGUAGUCCUCUGAAAUGCUAAUAGGCCUUAGAAUUUUUAAAAAAAAAAAUUCUGAGAUAAUCCCUAUUGUGAUUUCAUCCUGAUUUCCAUCCCUUUUUAUUAUGGUUGUGCAUUGAAUAGAAACACUGCUCUUUAGGGAUUUUUUUGUCCUUUUUUUUUUUUUUUUUUUAAAGUAUUUAUUUCCUGGGUUGCCUCAGGUUUCAGUUGUGUCGUGUGGGAUCUUGGUUGCAGAGUGCAGGAUAUGUCAUUGUGGCAUGUGGGCUCCUUUCCAGCAGUGGUGUGCGGGCUUUAGAGUGUGGAGCUUAGUUGUCUGUUGGCACGUGGGCUCUUAGUUCCCUGACUAGGGAUCAAACCAACUUGCCCUGCAUUGGAAGACAGGUUCUUAAGCACUGAACUACUGCUGUCAAUCUCAGUGUGCUGUAAGCAGGAGUUCCUCCUCCUCUUGAAACUACCUAUUCUUUCUAAGCUCUUAAAUUUUAGCACAUUUUCUAGACUUAACAAUGACAUCUUGGACUCAACUUGGAGUUCUUUUUCUAAUUGUAAGUUAAUUGCUGUGUUGGCUGCAUCAUUGGUUCUCAACUCUUUACAUUCAUGUUGAUGCUCAUUUGUAUGAUAUAUUUCCUGUGGGUAGUAUUCAGGAUUAUUUGCCACUCCCAUUCUACUAGUAGUAGUUCUAUCCCUUACUCUCCCACUCAGAAGCAUAUUGGCAAGAAAGUGAUGUUGUAAGAAUAAACUUGACCUAUUUUUAAUGGAAAGAAGCUAAGUUAUAAACUUUAUAUUGCUAGUGGUGGUCCUUCACUUGGAUUUGCUAUCUUUACUGUUCUUUUCCCAGUUCUGUGCUGAAUACAGAUAGCUCUUAGUCUUAUCUUUUUAUAAAACAAUGCUUUCCUUCUGUGCCUUUGGCUCUUGUUUGGUCGUGUCUUGUCCCUGAUACAAGCCAUUGCCAAUUUCCAUCUUUAUGGCCUGAGGGUUUCUUUACUCUGAUUUAUAAUAGUUGGUACAAAAGUAAUUGUGGUUUCAGACAGUGAGUUUUAAAUAACUAUAACUAGGCUCAAACACAUCUUUAUUAAUCAAAAUAGUGACCAUUACAAUCAACACAUUUUUGCCAACAGAGGAAAGUUUUUUUUGUUUAUUCCUGUAGCAUAAAAAUCUGUGCUUCAUUAUUCGAUGAACUCUUGGAAAGCAUUUUCUGCCUCCUGCUGGGUGUGGAAAUGUUUUGCCUGCACAAAGUUGUCAAGAUGCUUUGAAGAAAUGAUAGUUGGUGAGAGUUCAGGUGAAUAUGGUGGAUGAGGCAAAACAUUGUAGUCAUAUCAUAGCCCAAUGUGUUCAACUUUUGAAGUGUUGGGUGUGUGACAUACCCAUUCUAUUGAUCAGUGCCGCUGCAGGCGUGGCAGUUUUUGAUGCAUCUCAUCGAUUUCCUGAGCAUACUUCUCAGAUGUAAUGGUUUUGCCGGGAUUCAGAGAGCUGUAGUGGGUCACACCAGU